rnacentral:rRNA from 1 species
GAUGAACGCUGGCGGCGUGCCUAAUACAUGCAAGUCGAGCGAACAGACGAGGAGCUUGCUCCUCUGACGUUAGCGGCGGACGGGUGAGUAACACGUGGAUAACCUACCUAUAAGACUGGGAUAACUUCGGGAAACCGGAGCUAAUACCGGAUAACAUGUUGAACCGCAUGGUUCAACAGUGAAAGACGGUCUUGCUGUCACUUAUAGAUGGAUCCGCGCCGCAUUAGCUAGUUGGUAAGGUAACGGCUUACCAAGGCAACGAUGCGUAGCCGACCUGAGAGGGUGAUCGGCCACACUGGAACUGAGACACGGUCCAGACUCCUACGGGAGGCAGCAGUAGGGAAUCUUCCGCAAUGGGCGAAAGCCUGACGGAGCAACGCCGCGUGAGUGAAGAAGGCCUUCGGAUCGUAAAACUCUGUUAUUAGGGAAGAACAAAUGUGUAAGUAACUAUGCACGUCUUGACGGUACCUAAUCAGAAAGCCACGGCUAACUACGUG